rnacentral:lncRNA from 1 species
GGAAAAGUUCAAAAUAAAUCUCUUUACAAGUUCAAAAUAAAACCUUGUCCCUCAAGCUGUUGAAUUUACCCCAGUUUCUCCUAAAAGGCAGAGAGGUGUUUGAGACAUGAGCAAAAAACAAUUCCUGGUGUUAAUGGUGAAUUCCUCCCUUCAUUUUUGCAGGUAGCAGCGGAAAUGAAAGCAACUCUAUUUGGCCACACAGGCUCCACAAAUGAGUAACUUCAGUGGGAAUUGCUCAUGAAAAAGAGAAAGGAUCACCUGGAUUCUUCUGGAGCUGGGAGUCAGGGCCAGAAACCUGCAGGAAGGACCUGCCCAAGGAAGAAGAAGAGGAUUUCACUUCUCCAGAGCUCCAUCCCACCUGGAGCUCCAGACGAGUGCUGGUGGCAGACUGAGGGAGAAGGAAUAACCCCAGCACUGUGGAACACAGGGUAUGCGCAUUUAUUCUCCAUUAUUUUCUUUAACUAUCCUGCAAUUUCUGUGUUGUUCUUACCUCAGUUAUAUUCAGAGGAAUGUUUCAUAAUCAGAGAUAUCCAAAGAGGAAAGAAAUAAAGAAAAUAUUCACAUUGAGGCCACUCCCAGCACAUGACCAGAGCUGGGCUCUCCAGUAGCUGAGGAAAAUCUGGAGUUAAUUUCUAAUUUCACCAUGAAUUCCCUUCUUUUGCAGGGUCUGCCAGUGCUGGUGAAGCCUUUUUUGAGAAGCACACAGAAAAUCUGCCAUCCCAAACCCAAAUCUCCUUCCCACUGGCCACCAGCCUGAGCAGGAGCUUCAUACAGGUGAGAUGUUCCAGGAUCAACCUUUUUACUCCUUGUGCCAGCUGGGAAUUGAACUGAAUUCAGAGCUCAGGAACUUUUAAACUCAGGUUUAUUUGUGUAAUAUUUUUAUCACACAAACCCACUGCUGCCACAAUUUUUAAAAUUGAAAUUAAGGGAUGGGAAAUGGGUAAUUUUUAAGGAUCCUUCCAACUCAAAUAAUUCCUUGAUUUUAUGAAAUUCCUGGGUGCAAAAACACAUAUUAAGUGGAAAAGUUGAUUCUCACUGGGAUCAUUAAAACCUCCCUUUAUUUUUUUUUUUUUUUUUUUUUUACACCCACCAUCCUGCUCGGAAAACUGGAUUUAUUUUUGAAAUCCCUAAUUAAGGAUGGGAAUUUCACAUCAGGCAGAUGCUGUCACUUUCUCCCAGCCCUUCCAGCAAAAUUCCAUGUGCAGGUUGGUGCC